rnacentral:lncRNA from 1 species
UCUUGCACUGAUGCUAUCUUCAACCUCCCUGCAUAUUACUAGGGCCUCGAUGUGCAUGUAUGCCUUUUAUCUUUUGCUCUAAGGCCAUGUGCGAGGCAGAGGUCGGUCUCAGAGGUGACCUAUCCCCAGGACAGAAGAGAUGAGGGGGUAGAGCAAAGAUGUGACCUGGUGUAGGUUCUGUCUCCGCUUCCCUGCUUGUCUGGAGAGGCUCUGUCCCUCCAGCUUUGGCUUAUGGUGCGAACUGAAGAUGCUGUGUGUGUGGGUGUUUCUAUGGCGGCCGUUUCCAAAGCCGUGGCUGGGCCUGUGGCAUCAAGUCCUAUCGGCUUUACUACGGUACCUGUGAAGAGACAGUCACAGCAGGGUCUGUUAGGACUCUAAACGGGAGAUGAAUGCGGUUCGAUGCUUUCCGAAGAAUGAUCAGAACCUAGAAAUAUGAGCUCGUGAGGUUUAGGAGCAGGCCAAAAGGAUUUGGUUUCACUCCACCAAGAUUUGGCUACUUAACAGAUUAUUCUCUAUCCCAGCUUUGGGGCAGACAUAUUUUGCUGUACCAGGGGGAUGUUCCAUUGAGACUGAAAACCAAGUACAUCUGUGUAGCAUCUUCAUUUUAAGUAGAAGAACCUCGGAUUGGUGGUCCCUAAUUCAGAGUCGCUCAGAAACAUGUGCCCUGUUUUUUCCACUGGACGCUAACGGGGGCUCUUUCCUUAAAGGAAGGCAUGUGGACCACACACUGAUACUUAGGAAGCUUCUUUGUUCCACAUGACAAAUGUGUAGAGAACGCACUAAUUGUGGAAAUUGGUUUCUGGAUAUUCCAGUCUCCAUACCCAUCCAAUGUGAUGUGAUGUCUGUCUGUCUCUGUCUCUUUCUCUCUCUCUGUAUAUGUGCAAGUGUGUAUUCACACAGUGCUCAGUACAAGGCACACCUCAUAUGUUCAGAGACGUGGUGACAGAGUCAGUGGUCAGUCUCAGUGCAGGCUUACUAAGGGCUUCAGUUGAAUCUUUAACUGAGUUUUGAGGAAAAACAACAAAACAAAACAAAACCCCCAAAACAAAAAAACAAACC